rnacentral:tRNA from 1 species
CGCGGGAUGGAGCAGCCUGGUAGCUCGUCGGGCUCAUAACCCGAAGGUCGUCGGUUCACAGCCGGCGAGCGCAACCC